UUUCCGUAGGUGAACCUGCGGAAGGAUCAUUACCGAGUUAGGGUCUCCUCCGUGAGGCCCGACCUCCCAACCCCGUGUCUAAUAAACCUGUUUGUGUUGCUUCGGCGGAACGGCAGUUGCCCACCCCCACACCCGGGGGAGGGAGACCGUCGCCGGGGGAUUCCACGGUCUCACGACCGCCCCUGGAGAGCGUCCGCCGAUGGCCCCAACCAAAUAACUACCAAACCCAAAUUGUUAACCAUUUAAAUUUUCUGAAUCAGACCUUUUGAUAUACCAAUCAAAAAUAAAACUUUCAACAACGGAUCUCUUGGUUCUGGCAUCGAUGAAGAACGCAGC
rnacentral:misc_RNA from 1 species